rnacentral:lncRNA from 1 species
AUUCCUUCCCUCUUCCCUGCUCCCACAAGACCUCAGACUUCCAGCUGUUUCCUUCAAGAUGCAUGAAAAGAUGAAAAGCUCUGACAACCUCAGGAAGACUCUGACUCAGCUGCAGCCACAUCUGGCUUGAAAUUCUACUGGAAACCCAUGGAGUUCGGGGCUCCACACGGCGACUCUCAUGAUCAUAGAACACGAACAGCUGGUCAUCCACGUAGCCCAAAGCUUCAAACAAGGAAAGACCAAGGUCCUGCUCUGAGGCACCCAUGAAGAGGUAGUGCAGAGAGUGUGAACCUGGAGACAGAGCAACAGGCCUUAACCAUGUGUAGUAGGAGGGGAGCAGGAUGUUGAGGCUCCACACACCUGCAUCAACUCAUACCAUCAGCUGUGUCUGGUCCUCAUUUUGUGAAGGGUGAGUUGCAGUCCUGUCUUUCUUCCAUAUGACAGUCCUGGGUGCUCUUUCCUUGUGUGCUUUUCUCUGCCACACGUGGCUGCCACCCCCUCACUGCCCCCAGAUCCUAUUCCAAUACUCAUGAUUAGACAGACUCCACUAAAGCUGGUGGAUUCUAGAAAAUGUUAAGGUGUGUCUAGCCAUGGUAGUUGAACUCAGGAGUUGGUGCUCAGGGCAAAUUAGACCCAAAUCCUGAGGAAUAAUUCCUUCAGUUUUUUUUUUUUUUUUUUUUUUUUUUUUUGAGACAGAGUCUCACUCUAUCACCCAGGCUGGAGUGCAGUGGCACAAUCUCAGCUCACUGCAACCUGCACCUCCUGGGUUCAAGGGAUUCUCCUACCUAAGCCUCCUGAAAACCUGGGACUAUAGGCGUGCGCCACCACACCAGGCUAAUUUUUGUAUUUUUAGUAGACAUGGGGUUUCACCAUGUUGGCCAAGCUUGUCUCAAACUCCUGACCUCAAAUGAUCUACCUGCCUCAGCCACCAAAGUGCUGGGAUUACAGAAGUGAGCCACCGUGCCCAGCCUUGGUCCUGAAUUCUUACACUGAACUGCCUAUGUGGCCUCACCACUUGGAAGCCUGACUGGAAUCUCAAACUUAACAUGUCCAAAUGCAGAUCCUUGAUUUACCCCAAACUGCUCUUUCCUCUGCCUUCACCAUCUCAGAAAUGGCAUUGCCAAUUACCCCACUGCUCAGGCCAAUAAAAUUAAAAUAAAGAACAAAGUCAACUUUAACUCUUCUCUUUUUCAGGGGGUCAGGGGAGACAGGGUCUUGCUCUGUCACCUAGGCUGAAGUACAGUGGCACAGUCAUGGCUCACUGCAGCCUCAACUUCCUGGGCUCAAGCAAUACCCUCCACCUCAGCCUCCCGAGUAGCUAGGAUCACAGGUGCAUGCCACCACACCCAGCUAAUUUUUGUAUUUUUUGUAGAGAAGGGGUUUUGCUGUGUUGCCCAGGCUGGUCUUGAACUCCUGAGCUCAGGAAUCUGCUCUCCUUGGCCUCCUCCUUGGCAUGAGCUACUACACCCAGCCAAUUCUUCUCUUUCUCUCACACAACAUAGAAUCCUUCAGCAACUUCCUUCAGAAUAUAUUCAGGAGACAAUGGUUUGUCACUCCCUUUUCUGUUCCCACCCAGCCCACUCCACUACCUCUUGCCUGGACUGUGUAACAGCUUCCUGGCUGGGCUCCCUGCUUUUACUGUUGCUCCCUUCAUUCUGCUUUCCACAUAGCAGCCAGAGCAAUCUUUUAAAAGCCUGUGACAGAUCACUGUUACUCCUUGGCUAGAAUUCACACCACAGCCUACAGGCGCCUGCACAACCUUGUUUGUGGCUCCUCUUCUGAGCCCAUUACCUACUUCUUGGCCUCUACUCCCCAGCACUACUUGUUUAUUUUUUUCAACCCGAGCUUCUUAACCAGGAGUUUGUCUACUAGGUGACAUGUGGCAAAGUUUAGAGACAUUUUUGGUUGUCAAGACUGGGGGAGUGCUCCUAGCACCUAGUGAGUAGGGAGGACAGGAUACUGCUAGACAUCCUACAUGCAGAUGGUAGUCCCCCUUCCCACCCCCACGCCGCCCCCCCCCCCCACACACACACACAUGAGUAGUGCUGAGAAAACCCGCUUUUUAAUCCAACUUGCCAGGCCCACUCAGUUUGCCUGGGAAAUACUGCUCCCAGUCAAUAUCAUUCUUAUUUCCUUCAUGUCUCUGCUCAAGUGUCAGCCCCAGAGUGACUUGCCCUGACUUCUCUGCUUCUCACAACACCCAUGAUUUCCUGAUGUUGUAUAUCUUUCUGCUCAUUUGCUUAUUGUCAUCUCUCCCACUAGAAUGCAAAAUAUCAAAGGGUAAAGACUUGUUUCCCUGCUCUCUCCCUUGGGGCUUGAACAGUGCAACACAUGGCUGGGACUCAUUUACACUUGUAAACAAUGAAUAUUUCUGCUCAACAUGAAAUUUUAUUAUUCAACCUCUAAUGCAGUGUGAUGUUUAAGAAUCAUAGCUAUGAAGUGGAGACAUGAGCUCUGCCACCAAAGCCCAGUGUACCAUUGAAUAAAUUUGCCAGGAAGCAGGCCGUGCCAUGCCUCAUUCUUGUCAUGUGUAAAAUGUGGAUACACGUAGUACCAAAACUCAAAGUGCUGUGCUGAGGCCGGCGUGUGACCCACAGAACACUGUGCUACACUACAGGGCAAAAUCACUGUCAACUAAGAUUAGAAGCAGCUGUAGUACUUGAAAUAACAUCAGAAAACCAGAUUAUUUAUGUUCUUUGUAACCUGAAAAGAGUUAUAUAAUCUGAAUUCCAGUUAACUUCUAGUAAAAUAAACGUAUUAUUAGCUCCUACCUCCCUAUGCCUAGUGAAAAUCAAAUAAGAUCAGAUAUGAAUGUAACUUAGAAGUGAGUGCAUUGCUUACAUGUUCAUUAUCAGUACUUUGUAGAGAGGCCUCUUAAUUACACAGCACAUUGCAAAUCAAUAAAGCCUAGCCGAAAAGAGAAUUGUUCAGUUCAAACGUUCAAAACUAACAUAUACUUAAUUUUCCAGGCAAAAGAACAAUUGCCAAGAGUGGGGAAAGGCCCGAGGUAGGCCUCUCUCAGGAGCCUCCCACCCUAGAGACCUCCACCCCAGGUCUCACCAAAAGUGGGUGGAAUGGUGAAGAAUUCAGAUCCCCAACGCCACUCUUUCGCGCCCCCACCGCCCAACGCAUUCGUUCUGAGGUGGAAACCCCGUGCGGAUCCUGCUGUGGGUUUGCUCAGCCUUCUCGGCAAGCACUCAGGGAAGAACUUCCUGUUUGGAGAUGACUGGGGAAAAAACUGCACAGCUGACAUUGGAAAUAAACCCGAGUUCCAGGUUCAAGGAGCCCCAGGCUUAGCUCAGCUCAAGUGAGGAACUACGAGAUUUAUUUAAAAGCAUUCUAGUUGGGGGAAGGGAGUGGGCGGUUCCAAAAGUCACUCCGCAGAGCCGGGACAGCCGGGGGAGGGGGCAGGUCCUGGGGCGAGGGACCCCUAUCUGCAGUUCAGUGGUAGGCACUCCCUCACGGGGUCUGGACGCAGAAAGUAGGGAGAGGGGCUUGCGGAUAGGGUUGAGCAGGUCCUCCAAAGUUAGCAAACUCCCAAGCGCAAAGAAAAAGCUAGUUUCGAUUUUUCCACCCCCGCCGCGCCCCUAGUUCGCCCGCAGCCCUCGGACUCACGCAGCAAGCGCCCCUGCAGGACCGCGGUCUGCAAAAGCAUCAGGAGGAGAAGCGCCGGCCUGGCUCGCGGGCCCAUUUCCCCAGCUCUGGCCGCACGUCCCCGUUAAAUCUCCGCUUCUUUUGGGGGGCGGGGAAACGGGGAUGGCUCCAGAAGUCACCCUACAGCUAUUGCCUAGGCUCAGGAGAUGCCCAGUAAAACUUCCUGGUGAAAAGCAACAGGUCUUUCAGAACUUUAGUUCUCUCUCUCCUACAGCAGAAGGUACCUGCUUGUGAAACACUAGGUGAUCCAGUGUCCCCCUUGGUUUUUAAAUCCUGAAGGGGUGUUGUUGAUUGGGGAAAGUAGCUUCGCAAUGUUCUGAUCUGAACUUUAGAUAUUUAAAUAUUUAUGAUUUUCAAAAUUCAAUCAUACAUUUAAAAAUUUUAUCUCAACCUUAGACCAACUUAUGUCUUAUUUGACUUAGAAAUAUAAAGCUUUUUCAUUUUGUUUUUUGAUUCAAAUUAAUUAAGUCAUAACAUUAACCAAUUAGAUCCUACUGAAACACCUUCCACAGCCUUCAUAAUUGAAUUAUCUGACAAGUGUUUCACAAACUUUACAGUAUUGGGAUUAUCUGGAGAAUGAUUAAACAUAUUGAGGCCUGCUCCUAACCCCAGACACACUGAUUUAAUGGGUAAUUGUUAGGUAGUUAGACAUUAGCAGUUGGGAGGGGAUGACAGAAGAGAGCGGAAAGGCUGUCACUAAGACAGCCACUGGCCCACCUAAAUUCAGGCCCAAGACUACCCUAAUGCCACCCUAAGGGAUGGAGUUUAUGAUAAAGUCUGUGGCCAAAAUAUCCUGGAGAAAGAGAAAGGAGGGUACAGGUGGAAAUUCCCUAAGGUGGCACAUGCCCAACAACACAAAAGCCUGUCUUCAAGUUCACCCCAAGUUCAUCAUGCCAUCAUUAUAAUAGAAUUUACAUACAGUUUUGCCCCCCCAUCCCUGGGAGGCUUUUCUUAACAAAUUAUAGGUAAGACCAUGCACAGUUUAAUUUUAGAUUGUAUAGCUAUACACUUCAAUCAAAUAACAUCAUCCUGUCACUCAGAUACAGCCCAAACCUCAACUCCUCCCCACAAACCCCAUAAAAGCACCUUGAGCUCUGUAAAGAAGUGCUGAGUUCACUUCGCAGAAAUAAGCCCGCUGUCCCUCAGAGUGUAUUAUUGUGCUUCAAUAAACUUUGCUUUAAGCUUGCAUUUUGGUGUUAGUUUGUAGUUCUUUGCUCACUAUCACAAGAACUGAGAUUGCUGGUUCAGAGCUCCGGCUAUAAUAAUCUCCUCGGUUAAAGGAUCCAUCCCAAUGCAUAAUUCCCAGUAACAGUAUGGGAUGCCACCUGGGCAAUGGGAUUUUAAAAGCUUUCCUUCUCCCUCAACGAAGUUUGGGAAUUAUUGCCUUAGACAUUUCAAACAAUAUUAAUAAAUUUAAUACACCUGAUUUGCUCCAAACCUUUACAUAUCUAGCAAAUUCAACAGGCAUUAUUUUUGUAAGCAUGUAUGCAAAUUUUGGCAAUUCAAGAAAAUCAAACAGGAUAUCAGGGCCUCGACUGUAGGCAAACAGAUACAAUAACAUUGGAAACAUGUAGAAUAUUGAUGAUGGG